rnacentral:sRNA from 1 species
GAGCGACCCCGCCAGUCGGGUCCGUCCUGCGGUAAAUGCACAACCCGGACGGAAGUGUCUCUCCGACACCAGAUCCGGGCUCGGAGCUCCAGACGCUGGGACAGGUGACUCGGGGGGUUAGCGAGCCGGACGGCCUUGCAGGCCGCCCGCAGACCACCCCCGCCGCGCGCGGGACACGACGCCCCCCGCAGGACCCGCCCAUCAGCCCGGAAACCCCCGAGCUGCUUCUUCCGGAGGCUGAUGCCCACCCGGGAGCCCCCAAAGACUCGCGGCUCCCGGGGGCACCUGCAGACUCACCCGCCUGGGCCUGGACCCCCGCUGCAGGGACUGGCGCCCCGAGGCCUCAAAACCAGCGCCCCCCGCCCUCCGUGCCAGCCCCAGCCGGGACCCCACAAGGCAAAGACCAAGAAGAUUGUGUUUGAGGAUGAGUUGCUCUCCCAGGCCCUCCUGGGCGCCAAGAAGCCUAUUGGAGCCAUCCCUAAGGGGCAUAAGCCUAGGCCCCACCCAGUGCCCGACUAUGAGCU